UGUCUGCUGGGAAGUUGGGAGAGCCAGGCUGGGGCUCCGGCAGGCCCAGGGAAAGUUCCCUUUCUAGGCCUUUAUUAAAAAAUUUAAAAGGAGGAGUUGAGGCGCCUUGAAUUUUCCUUCGUGAGUUUGGAGACCAGCCGAUUUUUCAUGAAGUAAGCAAAGACGCGGUCCUGGAUCCUGCAACAUAUACCUCAUUUUCUCCAGGCCUCUCCACUUGCCCGAGCUCUCAGCCACCAGGAGACAGACGGAAGGGGCUUCUGGGCUGUGUUGGGAGCGGGCACUGUCCCCUACUCACUCCUGCACAGUUUCCCAAAGUCCAGCGACCUCCGAUCCUCCUUGGGGGAAAAAAUACCAGUACCCAGACACCUCUGCACCCUGUUAUAUGACUGGGCUUGCUUCAGGAAUAUCUUACAAAGAAGAAGAAGAAGAAGGAGGAAUGGCUUGGAGUCAUGUUUACAUCUAGUUCUUCUGAUCCGUUCACAUCUGGAGAGUUUAUUUGUAACUCCCUCUAUAACUCUCUGUUUGGAGGCACUGGUGGCUCUACUGACAGACUGAUGUCUAGGAAAUAUUGCUCUAUGUCUAACCGUACCUAAAUGUGCUGUGGUUGUAUUUACAGAUUUACGUUUGAGGGAAAUAUAAUUAUUUCCAUUGUAUUUGUGCAUAUACAGUAGUUAUAGGAGCAGAUUUAUAUAUGGGAAAAUAUGCGACUCUCUUACAGCC
rnacentral:lncRNA from 1 species